CCUACGGGCGGCAGCAGUAGGGAAUAUUGCUCAAUGGGGGAAACCCUGAAGCAGCAACGCCGCGUGGAGGAUGAAGGUUUUAGGAUUGUAAACUCCUUUUGUUAGAGAAGAUUAUGACGGUAUCUAACGAAUAAGCACCGGCUAACUCCGUGCCAGCAGCCGCGGUAAUACGGAGGGUGCAAGCGUUACUCGGAUUCACUGGGCGUAAAGAGUGCGUAGGCGGGGAAAUAAGUCAGAUGUGAAAUCCUGUAGCUUAACACCAGAACUGCAUUUGAAACUGUGUCUCUGGAGUGGGGGAGGGGUAGGUGGAUUUAUUGGUGGAGGGGUAAAAUCCGUAGAGAUAAGGAGGAACAC
rnacentral:rRNA from 1 species